UAAUACGUAGGGUGCGAGCGUUAAUCGGAAUUACUGGGCGUAAAGGGUGCGCAGGCGGUUCUGUAAGUCAGAUGUGAAAUCCCCGGGCUUAACCUGGGAACUGCGUUUGAAACUACAGAGCUAGAGUGUGGCAGAGGGGGGUGGAAUUCCAUGUGUAGCAGUGAAAUGCGUAGAGAUAUGGAGGAACAUCGAUGGCGAAGGCAGCCCCCUGGGUUAACACUGACGCUCAUGCACGAAAGCGUGGGGAGCAAACAGGAUUAGAUACCCUGGUAGUCC
rnacentral:rRNA from 1 species